rnacentral:lncRNA from 1 species
AAUCACUUGAACCCAGUAUGCAGUGAGCCGAGAUUGUGAGUGAGUGAGAUUCCAUCUCAGAAAAAAAUAAAUAAAUAAACUUCAUGGAGCACACAUACCUAAAGGAGCACAGACAUCAAUUUAGAUAGCAUAGCAGAGACAAUACUGUGUUUUCACCAAAUAUGUGAUCUCCCUACUGGCAUACAUAAAGGCUACAUUUGCCUACAUCCUUUGUAGUUAUGUUGGGGUCAUGUGAUGAAGUUCUGGCCAAAGUUAUGUUGGCCAAAUUAAUGCCUAUCAUGUACAAGCACAUCCUUGAAAACCAUGCUUGAUACUUGACAUUCUAUUAUCUUGUCCACAUAGAUUUUGAAAGUCUUACGAUGAAGAUGCCAGAUGUAUCAGAUGGAAGCAUACUGGAUUCCCGAGUCUCCAGUUGGAAGAAAGCUUUCUGACACACACUGUAAUAUCAGUAAAAAUAAGCAACAAUCAUAUUAAGUCACUGAGAUCAGGAGGUGCUUGCUAAAACAGUUAGUUAAUACUAACAGCAGUAAUGCAAACAGUGUGGUUUUAAGAGGAAGACAUCAAGUUUCUUUUUUUUAAUGCAGUAAAUUCCAAAGUCAGAAGCUGAAGUCAGAACUAGUAAGGUAUAUACAUAAAAGAAAAAGGAGUACAGUGAGUGUCCAUGACCUUUUCAGGUAGCUAACCUUGAACAACAUGUAUUUCAUCUUUAUAUUUACAUGAUUUUCAUUUAGUGAGAAAUAAGAUGUUGCAUCUGCUCACAAAUAGAUAGCCUCCUGGGGAGUAUACUUCUCCCAUGAGUGUGUACUCUGAGAAUACAAAAGUUAUAAUAGAAAGUGAAUGGAAUGGAUGUCAGCAGAUUCCUUUAUAUGUUCCAGCAAAAUAUUCUACGUGUAAAGAAAGAAGUAAUAGAAAAUAUGAAUCAAGUUUCAUAAGAGUACUUUUUUCCACACAAAGCAUAAAUUUUACCCUGCAGUAUGCAGUUAUAAAAUCUGUAUUUUAACAGGAAGGAAAUAAACCAAUGUAUAUAAUAUAGUGUUAUUUAUGUACAUUGUGGCAUGUAAGGAUCACAAAAACCUUACGCUAUAUUAUUCCCACUGAGGAGAAACAAUUGGUCACAGAGGUUAAAUAAUUUACUCAAGAUUACAUAAUUUGUAAGAAAGAGUUAAAAUCAAGUUAGUCUGAAUUUCAAACUCAGUUUCAAAUUAUCGCUUUUCUCUGUUAGUGUCAAGCAAUAUUUUAAAUUCACUAACUGGUGAGAACAUUUUACUUUACAUGUGGAUUAAACCACUGCCUAUAUUUUGUCCAUGAUUUUUUUUGAAUUUAGGUAGUAAGAUUUUAGAUGCAAGAGAUAAGUUCCCUUUAAAUAGUUUUUCUAAUUAUGAAAGACAUUAGUAGAUGCUAAGCUUUAUCUUUAAUUAGAGAGCGGACUAGUCAGAAUACUGAUGGUCGCGUAAAUCAUUAAUAUUUGAUUCUGAGAACUGGUGCAAGAAUUUCAAGUUUGACAUAAAAUUUUAGUUGCUUACUGAUUGCAUGACUAUUUUAAAAUGAACGAUUUUAUUUGCCAAUUACAUAUUUACCACAUAUAUCCUGCAUUGUUUUUUGUCCUAUAAUAAAAUCUUCCCUGUUAUUUACUAGCUUCUAAUAUCUAGGAGCUGCAUAUCUAGUUUCUUUUUCUUUGGAAAUACCUGAUGCCCAGGGAUACUUGAAGCCAAUUCUCUUUUCCCCAGUAAUGGGGGACAGCAAAAACCUGGAAAAACAAAGCCCCAGAUGUUCACUCUAAAUGAUUCAUACUUCUCUUCUACGAUACUUUAGCCAGAGUAGGGAAAAAGUAGAAUAAGUGGACUCAUUGGUGUGUUGUUUCUUUUUACUACAAGUACAUUGAGUAAAUAGCUAAAUGUUUGUAGGAGGAGGAAGAGGAAGUAGAAACAAAACACCUAGAGUAUCCUCCAACAAAAUAAGUCCCUGAUGAAUGGUUGGCUGAUCACGUUUUUCUCCUAUCUUUCAAAAAAAGGAGAUCCCUAGAAAACAUAUUUUCACAAACAAAGCUAUUCUUUUUUCUUCCUGGAUAUAAUAUUUUUCUUACUGAUGUUAAAUAUAAAGCUUCAAUUGUAUUUUAUACUGUCAAAUUAAAUAUUAUGGUGUAUUAGUAUAUUUGCAGAGCCCAGCAGAAAAGCACUGCUCUUCUUUACAUAUGUAUCUCCUUGUCAAAAGAAAAUAUUUAUAGAAUGACAAGGCUGAAGGUGACAGUAAAUUUGACAGUUUUUCCUGUGGAAUUGACAAAUAAUGAAGCUUCAUCAUUGAUGCUUAGUAAACAGGAGAAGAAAGCUUUCCUGUUACGAGAAUUAUCUUUAAAAUUUCUCUUUGACUAGGCAUAGAGCAGUGCAUCAUAGGACAGCAAUGUUAGGUCACAUCAUCCUGCUCAGAAACCUUGAAUGACUUCAGAGUAAAGUGCUAGCUUUUUAGCAUACCAUUCAUAUUCCUUUAAGACCUAGACUUCUUUUUCUCCACACUCAGCCCUAACUUCUUUAUCCAUUGCUUGUUCCUACAGUGAUAAUGGGAAUAGCUGCCAAUCUGUAAACCCAAAGCAUAGUUGAAUAACACUGUGCCAAACCUUAAUCUAAAAUGCACACUCUCAGCUCCAUUUCUUAGCUCAAAUCUGGAUUAGACUAAGUAAGAUUAUUGUGGAAAAAUAAUUUUCUUACCUAAUAAGAGAAUGACUAUGACCAGCUGCACUUUCCUCAUUUUAACUAGCAGAAUCUGAAAAUUGACAGCACAAGAAUAUUUCAGUCCUGUAUAAAAUCAAGGCUCUAUAAUAUAUAUAAAACUCAUAUUUCAAAAGUAGCUACUUAUCACUAGAUUUCUCUUAUAACAUUGAAGUUAUUCUUUCAAAAAUAUGAUUUCCAAAUAUGCAUUCUUGGAAAUUAAAAUUCAAUGUAUUCUUAAUUUCAUGAAUUUCUAUUUUUUGAAAUUAAAGUUCUAAUAAUGUUUAUGAUUUUCUUCCCUCAAUCAUUUGUAGUUGUUUGAUAUGAAACUCUCAUAUAAUAGGUGUUCAAGUAUUUUGGUUCAAUUAUUCCCCCAGAUGACAUCAUCAGCGCUAACUAGCUGAAAAAAAUUAUUUCUCAGUCAUGGUAAGCUUAAG